AGUGGAAUAGCUGGGUCAUAUGGUAAUUCUAUGUUUAACUCUGAGUAACUACCAGACUGUUUUCAAAAGUGGGUGCACCAUCUUGCAUUCCCACCAGCAAU
rnacentral:pre_miRNA from 1 species